rnacentral:rRNA from 1 species
UACGGAGGGUGCGAGCGUUGUCCGGAAUCACUGGGCGUAAAGGGUGCGUAGGCGGUUCAGUAAGUUGCUGGUGAAAUCCCGGGGCUCAACUCCGGGGCUGCCGGCACGACUGCUGGACUUGAGCACGGUAGGGGCAGAUGGAAUUCCCGGUGUAGCGGUGGAAUGCGUAGAUAUCGGGAAGAAUACCAGUGGCGAAGGCGUUCUGCUGGGCCGUUGCUGACGCUGAGGAACGAAAGCGUGGGGAGCGAACAGG